UGGGGAAUAUUGCACAAUGGGCGAAAGCCUGAUGCAGCAACGCCGCGUGAGUGAUGAAGGUCUUCGGAUUGUAAAGCUCUGUCUUUUGGGACGAUAAUGACGGUACCAAAGGAGGAAGCCACGGCUAACUACGUGCCAGCAGCCGCGGUAAUACGUAGGUGGCGAGCGUUGUCCGGAUUUACUGGGCGUAAAGGGUGCGUAGGCGGAUGUUUAAGUGAGAUGUGAAAUACCCG
rnacentral:rRNA from 1 species